rnacentral:rRNA from 1 species
CCUACGGGUGGCAGCAGUGGGGAAUAUUGCACAAUGGGCGCAAGCCUGAUGCAGCCAUGCCGCGUGUGUGAAGAAGGCCUUCGGGUUGUAAAGCACUUUCAGCGGGGAGGAAGGCGGUGAGGUUAAUAACCUCAUCGAUUGACGUUACCCGCAGAAGAAGCAACGGCUAACUCCGCGCCAGCAGCCGCGGUAAUACGGAGGGUGCAAGCGUUAAUCGGAAUUACUGGGCGUAAAGCGCACGCAGGCGGUCUGUCAAGUCGGAUGUGAAAUCCCCGGGCUCAACCUGGGAACUGCAUUCGAAACUGGCAGGCUAGAGUCUUGUAGAGGGGGGUAGAAUUCCAGGUGUAGCGGUGAAAUGCGUAGAGAUCUGGAGGAAUACCGGUGGCGAAGGCGGCCCCCUGGACAAAGACUGACGCUCAGGUGCGAAAGCGUGGGGAGCAAACAGGAUUAGAUACCCUAGUAGUC